rnacentral:rRNA from 1 species
GACGAACGCUGGCGGCGUGCCUAAUACAUGCAAGUAGAACGCUGAAGCUUGGUGCUUGCACCGAGCGGAUGAGUUGCGAACGGGUGAGUAACGCGUAGGUAACCUGCCUGGUAGCGGGGGAUAACUAUUGGAAACGAUAGCUAAUACCGCAUAAGAGUAGAUGUUGCAUGACAUUUGCUUAAAAGGUGCAAUUGCAUCACUACCAGAUGGACCUGCGUUGUAUUAGCUAGUUGGUGAGGUAACGGCUCACCAAGGCAACGAUACAUAGCCGACCUGAGAGGGUGAUCGGCCACACUGGGACUGAGACACGGCCCAGACUCCUACGGGAGGCAGCAGUAGGGAAUCUUCGGCAAUGGACGGAAGUCUGACCGAGCAACGCCGCGUGAGUGAAGAAGGUUUUCGGAUCGUAAAGCUCUGUUGUAAGAGAAGAACGAGUGUGAGAGUGGAAAGUUCACACUGUGACGGUAUCUUACCAGAAAAGGACGGCUAACUACGU